AAGACCUUGCGCUUUUGGAGCGGCCGAUGCCUGAUUAGCUUGUUGGUAAGGUAAAAGCUUACCAAGGCUUCGAUCAGUAGCUGGUCUGAGAGGACGGCCAGCCACACUGGGACUGAGACACGGCCCAGACUCCUACGGGAGGCAGCAGUGGGGAAUUUUGGACAAUGGGGGCAACCCUGAUCCAGCCAUGCCGCGUGAGUGAAGAAGGCCUUCGGGUUGUAAAGCUCUUUCAGCCGGAACGAAACGGUUACGGAUAACACCCGUGACUACUGACGGUACCGGAAGAAGAAGCACCGGCUAACUACGUGCCAGCAGCCGCGGUAAUACGUAGGGUGCAAGCGUUAAUCGGAAUUACUGGGCGUAAAGCGUGCGCAGGUGGUUUUGUAAGUCAGAUGUGAAAUCCCCGGGCUUAACCUGGGAACU
rnacentral:rRNA from 1 species